CCUACGGGAGGCAGCAGUGGGGAAUUUUGGACAAUGGGGGCAACCCUGAUCCAGCCAUGCCGCGUGCGGGAAGAAGGCCUUCGGGUUGUAAACCGCUUUUAGCCGGGAAGAAAAGGCGGGGGCUAACACCCCUCGUUCUUGACGGUACCGGCGGAAUAAGCACCGGCUAACUACGUGCCAGCAGCCGCGGUAAUACGUAGGGUGCGAGCGUUAAUCGGAAUUACUGGGCGUAAAGCGUGCGCAGGCGGUUCGUUAAGUCUGAUGUGAAAGCCCCGGGCUCAACCUGGGAAUGGCAUUGGAAACUGGCGGGCUGGAGUGUGGCAGAGGGGGGUGGAAUUCCGCGUGUAGCAGUGAAAUGCGUAGAGAUGCGGAGGAACACCGAUGGCGAAGGCAGCCCCCUGGGCUGACACUGACGCUCAGGCACGAAAGCGUGGGGAGCAAACAGGAUUAGAUACCCUGGUAGUCCACGCCCUAAACGAUGGUCACUGGGUGUUCGGGGAGCGAUCUCUGAGUACCGUAGCUAACGCGUGAAGUGAUCCGCCUGGGGAGUACGGUCGCAAGAUUAAAACUCAAAGGAAUUGACGG
rnacentral:rRNA from 1 species